GGUUUCACAAUGGAAAUUUGGCCAAGAAGGCUUGUGUGGAGUCACUGAAACAGGCACUAGAUUAUAAUAAAAUGGACACAGUGUAUGUUGACUCCUUUUUCAAUAACUACAAAAGGAAGGAGGUAGAAUAACCUAAAAAUAAAGUACUUUAUUGAAGAUGGGAAAAAAAUGACUGCAGCUAUAGAAAAAAUAUUAUGUGGAAAGGAAGGAUGAUUUUAACGGAAUUAUCAAGAUUGUCUGGCUGCUUCUGCAGUAAGACUGCAGAGUAGUUGCCCCAGAGAGCUAAGGCCCUCACUUCACAGUUUGCCAAGCCCUGCUCUAGAUCUUGGAUACCAUGAAGAACUCCUGGAAUCCUUGUGAUUUCCUGGGUGAUGGGAGUGUCAUUUGUUCUUCUGCGUGGGCUUCUGGAUGAGGGCUGGCCACUGGAGAGACCAAGCCAUGAUGAGAAGCUUGGAAUUUUCAGCUCUGCCACCCAUUUUCUUGAGAAGAGUUAAUGAUCCAUCCAUCAUGCUUACACGAUGCAGCCUCUAUAAAAUUCCAAAAGUACAGGGCUUGGAGAGCUUCUGGAUUGGUGAGCACGUGGAGGUGUUGAGAGACUGGUGUGUCUGGAGAAGGCAUGGAAAUUCUUCAUCCGUUCCCAUAUACCUUGCCCUACCUUCCAUCUAGAUGUUCAUCUGUAUCCUUUUUCAGAUCCUUUAGUAAACAGUUAAACAGUUAAA